CCCCCCCCCCCCCCCCCCCCCUCAACCCCUCUUUCCUUUCUCUUCGCUCCCUCCCUUCCUGCAGCCAAAUUUCAAAAUUUUCUUCAGGUUUCUCCUUGUUUUAAAGUGUUUUUCUUGUUUAGUCUUUUGGAGUUUCUUUUAUAAUAUUUGGAUCAAAUAUGGGGUUCUUCCCCUUCAGUGUCUUAGGUUGAUACUAUUUUUUCAAAUUUGACAUGAGAUUUAUGAUUUCUCUUUCACCGUCCUUUGGUUGGUUCAAGUUUUUGCUCCUUGAGAAUUGGAAGCGCUCUGCAAGCAGAUAUGGCAGUCUGAAUGGUCCUUGACCAAUAUCAAAGGAAUACUGAUAAAUAGACCCCUCAGUGUCAACCCAAGGACCAAGGUGCAAAGGCCAACAAAGAGGUCUGUUGUGGAAGAUUUCAGCUUGAAGGACGAUUUACAGCUGUAGUGUGCUCAUCUACUAGCUUGUUUGGUUAAUUGCAAAAUUAGGAAUGGUUCUUGUUUUAUGUUUUGUGUAUUACGUUCUCAAUCCUACCAAUAGAUGGAGAAGUUUCUAUUAUUCAAAAAUUUCAGUCCAUUCAAAAU
rnacentral:misc_RNA from 1 species